rnacentral:misc_RNA from 1 species
AAGUCGUAACAAGGUUUCCGUAGGUGAACCUGCGGAAGGAUCAUUACCAAAUCCAAAUUACCCAACCCCGUGUGAACUAUUGUACUAGUCUGUCUUUGGGAGAAAAGUUAAAAAAAAGAGCAUCGUCUCUGGUGUCCUUUUUUUGAACUUUUCUCCCAAAAGAAUCCGGCAUAUUUUACUUCUCUUUGGGAGUUUUUUAUGUCGACAUGUGAUUCUUAAAACCUUUAAAACCACUUGAUUCAUUGUUGGAAUUUUUUUUUAUUAAUUUUCAAUAAAAGACAACUUUUAACGGCGGAUCUCUUGGCUCGUG